rnacentral:lncRNA from 1 species
UCCUUUUACAUCUCAAGAACUAUCUUUAGGGCUCAAUUAUUCUUACUAAACACAUUCUCAUGUCGUCAUGUGGUAUAAACCCUAAACAUUACUUAAAUGAACUCAACAUACAACAUACAACAUACCAUAAAUAUAACAACCAUAAUCAUUAACAUUAAAGCUCAUACAUUGUGAUGGUAUGACCCCUAUCAUCCUUGGGCUGGCAAUGUACAUUCCCAUUACACCUUGGGCCAGCAAUGUAUAACCCCAUUGCACCUUGGGCUAGCAACGUAUAACCCCAUUGCACCUUGGGCAUUUUAUGAUGCAUCAUAGGAGUGAAUCUGUCACAUGCACCCUGUGAGAGUGGUACAAUCGCACUCUUUGAGUUCUCAUGCUCGUAGCAUGUGGCAUGUGGAAUGUCCUUCACAUACAUGCUUACUCAUCUCAUAAACUAUAUGGAAUUUACAUCAUAUACCUAAUCUCAUGGCAUUUAUGCUAGCUCAAUCAUCUCAUGUAGUGUAUGGAAUAUACAUCAUAUGCAUAUUCUCAUGGCAUUAAUCAUGCAUACUUAAUCACCUCAUAUGGUAUAUGGAAUUUACAUCAUAUACACCAUCCUAUAGUAUACAUCAUGCAUACUUGAUCAUCCCAUAUGGUAUAUGGAAUUUACAUCAUAUUCAUAAUCUUACGGCAUUCAUCAUACCAACAUGCAUAUUAUGGCAUCUAUAAAUAAGCACACAAUAUCUCAAGCAUAAGGUGCUUGUCCCCUCUUGUUGAAAACUAAUACAUAGUAUAAUAUUUACAUACAUAGUAGAUUCAUAAACAUUUUAGAAAAUCCAUUGAGUAAAACACAUCACAAUCAUUAUCAAUUUAUUCUCUUAGAAAAAAAUUCAUUUUCAUUCUAAAAUCUGAAAUCCUUUGAUAACCAAUUUUAGAGAUAUAAUUUCAACAUGCAUAAAUAAUCUUUUUCAUUGAAAUCAUGCUAGCUUUACAUAUCAAAAUAAUUUGAAAGUGGUGUAUCCACUCACCUAAUUGGAGAGUCAAUUCCUUGCUCCAAUCACAACUCCCUUUCGGCGUUAUCCAUGGAGUUUUCAGGCGUUCCUAUCAUACAACCGCCAUCACAAUCAUUUCCUAGAAUAAGAAUUUCGUAAUAAUCAUUUUAUGUACUUUCGAAAGUACUUGACUUUGGCUAAACUAAUUUUCUAGCUAAAACCCAUGCUUAGAAACCCAUAAAUCUUCCAUCCUUACCUUAAGUGAGCUUAGGUGCUUAAACAAAUCAUAAAACUUUUAAACUUAAAUCAGCAGCAAAAGGUUUGGGCAAUAACACAACUAUUUAAGUUAUGAAAAUCCAAAUCAAAAAGAUUUGAAAGCUAAAAACAUCAUCUUUUUUCAUAAAAACCUAAAUCUAAGCUUUAAAAUCAUAAAAAUAGAAUUUUGGAUUAAAAUGUGUUGAAAGAGCGUAAGAAUAGGUGUUUUACCUUGCAAAUGCAGCUGAGGGUUGCCAACUCUAGAAAAAUGUGAUAUAUUUAUAAGCCAAGGUGUGAAAAUAUGUUUUUACCCCUUUUAUUUUUCUAAAAUUGAUGAAAUGAAUCGAUGCAUUGGCCCAUGUAUCGAUACAUUUGGUUUUGGGAAAAAUGUUUUGAUACAUUUUCAUCAGAAACCCUUUCUGGGCUAAAUGUAUUGAUACAUCAUGAACAUCUAUCGAUACAUUUGAGAUAGAAUGCAGUUUUCUAAGAUAAAUUGCCUAUAAAACCUACCCAACUUAUUUACAUUAAACACUCUUUAAGUAAAUGUCCUUUUUACUUUUUACUUUCCAUUUACUUAAGAUAUUUAAUUUAAAUAAGCAAACAACCGUCCUUUUGAAUUCAAUUUAAAUAUAAAAAAAAUUAAAAUCUGAAAGAAUCAAAAUAUAAAUUUAGCUUUCAAGAACAAAAUCGAAAAAGUUCGACUGAAAUUAAAUUUGCGGUUCCCAUUUACCUUAGCAAACAUGCUCCAAAAAUUAAGGAAAAAUCAUUUUCGAUCAUCUAAAAACCAAAGGAAUCAUUACCACCAUUUUUUAUUUCAAAAUGAAUUGUUCUAUAAAAAUAACAUAUUUUGACCCUUUUCAGACUUAGAAAAUUUUCUGCUUCAAAAGUGACAAACAACAAAAAGUGUCAAUAAUUCUUUUCGAAGGUUCAAUCUAAGUUUGAUGUUCAAAUCAUGUAAUCUAUAUGCUCACCUAAGGAUUUCCUAGCUUAUCAUCCUACUCAAGGUGGGAUUUCACACUUUGAAAUUAAGGCAUUAAUUAUUCAAAUGAUUCAGACUGUUGUUCAGUUUGGGGGUUUACUUAAUGAUGAUUUAAAUGCUGAUAUUGUAAAUUUUUUGGAAAUUUACGAUACAUUCAAGGCUAAUGGUAUUACUAAUGAUGCCAUAAGAUUGAGGCUUUUCCCUUUUUCAUUGAGAGAUAAAGCAAAGAGUUAGUUGAAUUCGCUUCCUGUCGGUUCCAUUAAUAUUUAGGAUGGUUUGGCUAAAAAACUUCUUAGCAAAGUUCUUCCUACAUGCUAAGUUAGCGAAAAUGUGGAAUGAUAUCACUUCUUUCAUGCAAUUUGAUUAUAAGUCACUAUAUGAGGCUUGGGAGAGGUAUAAAGAGUUGAUAAGAAGGUGUCCUCACCAUGGAUUACCUAAGUGGCUGCUAGUUCAGACUUUUUAUAAUGGUUUGCUAGGACCUUUUAGAGCUACCAUUGAUGCUGCCGCUGGAGGUGCACUUGUCACGACAUGGAACUCCCAUCGAGCCCGUGACAACCGCCGCGAUGUCCCUAUAGACAUUCAUUACCCAAAAUGUCAAUCGAAACCUCACAAGGCUUAACAUCAGUUUUCUCACUUCCCCUGUGAGUAUUAGUCACUAAAAUUAUGUUUUGAGAGAUUAUAAACUAUUUCCAAAUCAAAACAAUAGAAAAAUAAUUUUUUUCUCAUAGAGGCAUUUUGGUCAUUUUUCCUUAAAAAUCUCGAAAUUCGCUAAAAAUGUAGUAUGCGAGUACAAAACGCAUAAUUCAUAAUCAAAAAUAAGUUUAAACAUCUAAAACCUUCAUUUAAAAUGAAAUUAUGAUUAUUAGAAUAAAAUAAAAAUAUUAAAUAAAAUAUUCAAUUUUCUCAUAAAUAAUAUUUUUACAACACUGCAUAAAUAAUUUUUACAGCGUAAAAGCAAAAUAAAUUCAUAUAUAUUGUAAUACAGUAAGCCAAAGUAUUUAAUUUAAUUUACAGUAACAAGUGGACCCACGAACUACCAAAAGUAUUAAAAGCAGUAAACCUACAGUUUUUUAGGAUGCAAGUCCAACUGUAGUCGUCAACAAAGUAAGCUAUCUACCGACUAUCCUAAGCCUGAAAAGGGUGGAAAGGAGGGUGGUGAGAUUAUAUAAUCCCAGUGAGUAAACAAAUACCAUCUAAAAUAUCUAAAGUUGAGUAAAUAGAGACAAAUAAAAUAAUUUAAUAUACUGUAAUUCAUUACCUUUCAAAUUCAUUUCAACCAAAUAAAAUCAAUUCAUAUAAAUCGAGUAAUCAACAUGGCUUAUGAAUUUCUUAAAACUUUAGCUCCUGCCAAAAUCAUUCUCAUACCCAGUUAUCAGGGAUGUCUUGAUCGAGGGCUAUCCCAACCAAGUCCGCCAAGGCAGUUAAUAGGUUAUGUACGCAUAAAUCAUGUUUUUAUUUUGAAAACAUAGCUGUUCCUUGGGGUUGGCUGAGUUCACUCUCACGUGGUGGUUUGGCGUGAAGUGAACUCUAAAGUUGUACCUCGGGAGUUACCCUACAAGCCUCUCCGAUUGAGGUAAGAAUAUAACGGGGUUACCGUGCCCCUCUAAUAGGCUGGUCCAUGAAACUCGCCCACUACAGCAAGCUAAACCCACCAAUUCAAUUAAAUCUCAACCGCAUGAUAUGGCAAUUAUAUCACAAUCCAGCCUCUCAAGGCUAACUACACAGUUCAUAUAUUUUCAGCACAUUUACCAAUUCAGCCAUUCAUGCAAAUAUUGUCAUAAGCCAUUCGAUUCAAACCAUGAAUUUACAACACAUGAAAACAGUCUCCAAUUACUCUAUUUUCAAAACCAUCAUUCAAUCUCAAGACAAUUUUAUAAAAUCAUUUUCAUUUAAUCUCAUUUUGCUUAUAAAACAUAAAGAUUUGCCAUUUAAACUCAUUUUCUAUAAAAUCACAAAAUUGGAUAAAACCACUUUAGAUAAUUAAGACGAUAGUAAGGUUACUCACUAUUUUGGGAGUCGAAUUCCAAGUACUCCGAUUCUUGAUCCUCAGGUAGUAAGGUUACUCACUAUUUUGGGAGUCGAAUUCCAAGUACUCUGAUUCUUGAUCCUCGGGUACUAUCUCUUUACUUUUGCCAUAAUGCUCACCACCUAAACAUAAUGCACAAUAAGCCAUUUACUACAUUUGUGCUAAAUUGUUAUAAAACCAAUUCAGGCUCUAUACUAAUGCAUGAAAUGGGAUGUGAAAUACUCGGGUAACUAUCUAAAUACGGUGUUCAAUAUAAAUUUAGUUAUGUACCUAAAUAAAAUGGUAUUGGCCUAAUUCGAUUUAUCUCUCGAUUAAUUGGCCAAUAUGUCUAAUUUAACUCCAAAUAAUUCCAUUUUUCUCCCAAUACUCCAAAUCAUCAAACACAAGUCAAAUAGCAUAAAAUCUAGCAAAAUCAUCUUCACAUUUUCUCUUAGAAAAUUCGGCCAUGGUGGGUGCAUCAAUACUAUGAUUUUUCCUACUUGAUUCUCACACCAUAAAUCAUCAUUUCCUAACCAAUUCACUUGAAAUAAAAUCAAAAUCAUCAUCCACACUCUACAUGGAAAAUUCAGCCAAUGAUGGGUGAUGGGAGAAAAUGAAUUUUUCUUGCUUGAUUUUCAUGCUACACAUCACUAAUUAACUAAAAACACUAAAAUAUCUUAAAAUCUAACCAAAUCAAUCAUCAAAUCUUCUCUCUCUAAAUUCGGUUAGCCAUGAAUCCUUCAUGAUAUCUUGUGAUUCAACCAUGAAAAAUGCAAAAUAAUGCAUGGGAAAGGUAGAUCACAAGUCAAAAUCAAGAAAUUUUACCUUUGAUUGCUUGAUUACUUUGAAUCCACCAAUUUUUCUCUUGAAUUUUCACCCUAGGGUUCUUGUUCUUUCUUUUCUUCCUUUGCUCUUCUUUGGCCGGC